rnacentral:lncRNA from 1 species
CUUCUGGGAGUUGUAGUCUAGUUCCCCCUCGUCUUUGGGGGCUCUUACAUGGUAUUUGACGGGUCGGGCUCGGAUGUGCGCAUUUCCGGACCUUAAGUUGUAUCUAUUGCGCCGGGGGACUGGGCACUCCCAUACCUCGCUGAGCUCGCCUGGUCRGAGCCCACCGUCCCCUGAAGGUGCGUGCACGGACCACUUGGACUCCGGCAUAAAUCCAUUUUGGCUUAUACACUUUGUAAAAAUCUUGAGUAGAAUUUGAUAAAACUUCUGACGUUAUUUGGUGUACUUUUGAGUAAGUAUAAAUCCAUUUCAUUUAAUGUUUAGUAGUUUAUUCUGGUUUCCUG